AUGCAGCGGAGGAGAUUGCCGCCGCCGGCCACCACCCUGGACUCCUCCUCCUCCCCAAAUCCCGCAGCAACAGCCUCGUCGCCCUACUUCCUGCCGGAGCUCGCGAGUCGCCUGACCACCCUCCAGGAUUUCUUCGCCCUCCACGCCACCUACCGGGAUCUCCUCCCUCCGUCGCCGUCCGGCCUCGCCUCCCAAGCCCCGCACCUCCUCCUCGUCCCUGGAUCUCGAGCCCUGUUCCACCUCCCCCUCCGCCGCCACCUGCGUUUUCGUCUCCCCCUCCCCGAUGCAGAUCCUACCACCCCUGCCGCCUUCUACUCUUUCGGCUGCCGCGUCGCCAUAGCCAGCCCCAGCCAUCACGACCUCAGCUUUGUCCACCUCCUGACAGGCGAGCGAUUUCGCCUCCCCCAUCCACCAGCAGACUUCUGUCGCCUCCUCCUCUCCGGCGAUCUCGUGCUCGCCUUUCUUCCGACUGUCGGCCAUGUCCUCAAGUACUGCCGCCUUGGGGAUGCUGAGUGGCGCCUGGCGUCAUGCAGUGAAGCCUAUGUGCUUGAGGAUUUGAUCUUUGUCAAGGGCACCCUGCACGCGCUAGUCAGAUCUGAAGAUGCCGGCAGCUUAUGUUACCGUCUAGCGGUUGUCAAGCUGUCAGACACCAAUUCAGUGGAAUUCACGUUUUUUGGAGAUCAGUUGGAUACACAAGCCGCACAUCAGUGUUUAUAUUUCUGCCUCGCGGAAUGUCUCGACGAGUUGCUGCUUGUUGGUGCCACGGGGUACACUCCAGAGGAGUUUCAUGUUUUCCGGUGGCAGUCCAGGGAGGGCAAGUGGACAAGGACUACUAGCCUUGGUGGCUGCACAAUGUUCUUGUCAUAUUUUCAUUUUACAAAUCGAACGAGAUCCUUUGGAGGCUUUUUCUUUGCAAGUUGCCUUGGUCCAGAUCAUCCAGGGGUUCGAAGGGACUACUUGUACUUAACAGAUGCUGACAGAGAAAGUGGGUUGAGUAUUCCUUGGCUGAUGGAUCUUCUGAUGAAUAUGUUGCUGAGAACUUAG
rnacentral:rRNA from 1 species